rnacentral:rRNA from 1 species
UACGUAGGGGGCGAGCGUUGUCCGGAGUUACUGGGCGUAAAGGGUGCGUAGGCGGCCUAUUAAGUCAGGUGUGAAAACCCCUGGCUCAACUAGGGGGUUGCACUUGAAACUGAUGGGCUUGAGUGCAGGAGAGGGAAGUGGAAUUCCUGGUGUAGCGGUGAAAUGCGUAGAUAUCAGGAGGAACACCAGUGGCGAAGGCGGCUUUCUGGCCUGUAACUGACGCUGAGGCACGAAAGCGUGGGGAGCAAACAGG